AACGCACAUUGCGCCCCUUGGUAUUCCGAGGGGCAUGCCCGUUCGAGCGUCAUGACAACCCUCAAGCCUCGCUUGGUGUUGGGGCCUGCUGUCACCGGCAGCCCUUAAAAUCAGUGGCGGUGCCGCCUGGCUCUGAGCGUAGUAAUCCUUCUCGCUACAGCGUCCGGUAGGUGCUCGCCAUCGACCCCCCCGCCACCUUCUAUGGUUGACCUCGGAUCGGGUAGGGAUACCCGCUGAACUUAA
rnacentral:misc_RNA from 1 species